AUGUCGGGUCUCAAAAUCAACUUCGACAAGAGCGAAGUGAUGAUGAUUGGCUACUCCCCCACCGAGCCAAAGUGUCGCGACCGUCUUAAUUGUCAGUUGGAUUCCUUCCCCACGACCUACCUGGGGAUACCCAUUGACUCUCAGCUAUCCGUGGCGGACUUGCGGCCAACAAUGAACAAGCUCCAGCACCGUAUCGAGCCCUAGCAGGGUAGAUGGUUGUCUAAGGCGGCGCAGAUGAUACUCAUCAAUUCGUCCCUCUCCAGCCUGCUCUCAUUCAUCAUGAGCUUUUACAGCCUCCAUGAGACUCUCCAUCAUGAGAUGGCCAAGGUCCAGGCUAGAUUCUUCUGGGCCGGGGAUGGUGAUAAGUAGAAGUACCAUAUGGUUCGCUGGCCCGACAUAUGCAAGCCACAUGACCAGGGCAGGCUUGGGAUCAUGUCCUCUAAGCGCAUGAACAAUGCUCUCCUGACCCGCUCGUUGUGGCGGAUUGCAAAUGGGGAGGGCGGCCUUUGGCUUGAUAUCAUCCAGAACAAAUAUCUGUGA
rnacentral:rRNA from 1 species